AUAUAAUAGCAAAUGCCUUACUUUGGAAAAAAAAAUUGACCACUUUCAGAAAAAAAACCCCCCAAAAACCUUAUUCUUGCUGAAAAGUUCAACACCCACGAACUUGAUCGAGAUACGUCAAUAUGCUGGACCACUUAAGAGAACGAUGCUUGUAUACGUAUAAGGUGACGUGCCGCCAACGUCUCAAAGAGGGAGGGAUAUCGUCCUACAAAUAUGGGUGAUCAACCCACCCCCCCUUUACUAAAUUGGCCAAAUAACCAGAAACUACGACCCACACCCAAACCCAGGGCAUCAACGAGAAACCUGUGUCCAGAGCGCAAGAGAUGUCAAAUAAAAAGAAAAGAAAGAAAUGUACUGGAUGGGGGAUGGCUGAGAAGACCUGACAGCGCCUUGAAAUGGAGUGGAGGCAGGAGAGCACUAUAAACCCAAGAAGUCAUGAAGCCGAGCGUACCUCAACAAACCCCAAAUGUUGCCACGAUUCAAUCGACCUUUUGAGUCUUGCAGCCUGUGAUUUAGCCACACGUUACAAAAUCUUUAAACAGCUUUUAAUUUCAACUUUAUUGUAGCUUAGAAAAAUUACACAGUGACUUAUUAGUAAUCAUAGUCACCAGCCUUAUAUCUUGCACAACAAGGCAGAUAGUUCUGGCUUAGUAAUAUCUCAUUUUUACAAUAGAGCACUAUAAUCUAUCAAAUACACCAGCAGAACAAUGAUUUUUUUUAAUGCUUUGUCAUUUGCAAUAGAUUUUCAGCAAAUGUCCCACAGGCCUCCAGAAUCUAUGCAUCUCAUUCUCCUAUUUGCCAAGCAUAAAUCUUGAAUCAUUGUAGGAUAUAAGACAUGAUUAUACUCUGUAUUCUUCUAUAAACCCCUGACGUCUAACUACAAGCUGAAAUAUGUUUGUAUGCAAACAAAGAAAGUCAAGGGGCUAUGAUGGGCGAGGUGGGAUUUCCACAGCUCUUCUUCACUCUGAUGGAUGGAUGGAUCAGCGAUACCCAGAUGGAUGGAGAGAGCGACCGGGCACAGACACAGGAGGAGAAUGUGUGGCAAAAUCAAGGGAUUAGCACAGCAGGAGAUCAGUGAUGAUGUUUGAACUGCCAUUCCGAAACAUUUUAUCCUUAACCCCUAAAACAAAAGUGUACAAAUCUGGGUGAAAUCUCAAUACAUACAACAAAUACAUACAUAUGUAUAAAUAUGUAUCUUUAAGCUACACACGAACAAUUUCUCUCUAAAAAAAUAAAUAAAUAACGACAUAAUUCAUGCAACCCAAGCUUUGGAUACACUAGCUAUGCACAGAGGAUUUUAUUUUUUAAAGAAACUUCUUAGGGAGAUAGGAAUGCAAUUGAAGCUGUAUCCUUUGGUCAUAGAAACACUGAUGACAUCACCACUGGUACAAAAAAUUUCAGAUUUUAUGAAUCAGCAACUUGAAAAAUGAAGCCAACAAUGAAAAAAAAACCAAAUCUGUUCCUCUAAUGGCCACUUGAGGCUAUGGUCCCAUUUUAAAAUACCAGACUUUAUGAAUAAACAUGUUUAUCCUGUGAUACUAAA